rnacentral:rRNA from 1 species
GAUGAACGCUAGCGGCAGGCUUAACACAUGCAAGUCGAGGGGUAUAGAAAGCUUGCUUUCUAGAGACCGGCAAACGGGUGCGGAACACGUACACAACCUACCUUUAUCAGGGGGAUAGCCUUCGGAAACGGAGAUUAAUACCCCAUAGUAUUAUGGAGUGGCAUCAUUUUAUAAUUAAAGAAUUUCGGAUAGAGAUGGGUGUGCGUAAGAUUAGCUAGUUGGUGAGGUAAAGGCUCACCAAGGCAACGAUCUUUAGCUGAUGUGAGAGCAUGAUCAGCCACACGGGCAAUGAGACGCGGGCCCGACUCCUACGGGAGGCAGCAGUGAGGAAUAUUGGUCAAUGGACGGAAGUCUGAACCAGCCAUGCCGCGUGAAGGAUGAAGGCGUUCUACGUUGUAAACUUCUUUUAUUUAGGAAGAAACCACUUUUUUUUAAGAGUGUUGACGGUAUUAAAUGAAUAAGCACCGGCUAACUCCGUGCCAGCCGCCGCCGUAACAC